rnacentral:rRNA from 1 species
GACGAACGCUGGCGGCGUGCUUAACACAUGCAAGUCGAACGGAAAGGCCCUGCUUUUGUGGGGUGCUCGAGUGGCGAACGGGUGAGUAACACGUGAGUAACCUGCCCUUGACUUUGGGAUAACUUCAGGAAACUGGGGCUAAUACCGGAUUGGAGCUCCUGCUGCAUGGUGGGGGUUGGAAAGUUUCGGCGGUUGGGGAUGGACUCGCGGCUUAUCAGCUUGUUGGUGGGGUAGUGGCUUACCAAGGCUUUGACGGGUAGCCGGCCUGAGAGGGUGACCGGCGACAUUGGGACUGAGAUACGGCCCAGACUCCUACGGGAGGCAGCAGUGGGGAAUAUUGCACAAUGGGAGGAAGCCUGAUGCAGCAACGCCGCGUGCGGGAUGACGGCCUGCGGGUUGUAAACCGCUUUCGCCUGUGACGAAGCGGGAGUGACGGUAAUGGGUAAAGAAGCACCGGCUAACUACGUG